rnacentral:tRNA from 1 species
UAGCUCAGUCGGUAAAGAAUCUGCCUGUAAUGCAGAAGACCUAGGUUCAAUUCCUGG